GCAAAGCCUUUUUCUUUCUCUCCUACCUUACCCCUCCUUUUCUCAUCCACAUCCACCAUUACCCUAGCUUCGAUGUCUCCAUCUCCAUGUUACCGUGCAAGUGCAACUAACACCACGCCAUUGAUCACAUGCUUGUGUUGCGAGCUGUGGCUGCAUUUCGCCAGCAUCGCUGCCUGCUGCCACUGCUAGUUUGGCACAUCUCAUAAAGGCAGGACGGACUGGAGCAGCAGGAUCGAUGGAUCAUCCUGCUGUUGUUUUUUCUUGCAAAAGGCGGGAAGGCAGUAGCAAAAGGGCGCUAAAGUUGGGUCCUUUUUCUUGCCACCUAGCCGCUGGCGCGCAUUAUUAAGCUCCCCCCUCCACUUCACCCACCCGGAAUCGAAAAGGCAGCGUUUUUUUUUUGUUUUGUUUUGUUUUGAUUCUUUCUUCCUCCGGCGAGCGGCGAGCGGCGGCCGGCGUUACCGGUCUUGGCGGCGACGGUUUGAGGCCGCAUUCAGUAGGUGCGGGAUCCUCGUCGGAAUUAAUGCCUUAAUUCCGUGUGCGUUUCUUGCGGAUUCUGCUGCUACAUAGCCGUGACACCGUACCUGCCGGUUUCUGCAGCUGUUGCAGUGCAGGGAUGGCGCCGGCGCCGGCGAAGUGGUCGCUGUUGGUGGCGGUGGCGGUGCUCGUGGCGG
rnacentral:lncRNA from 1 species